CUCCGACUGGCAUGUAUCAAACGAAUGUCCUCAGGGCUUUUUAUCAAAUUUUACAACUUUAUGAACGUCGUGAUUUACGGGCGCCUGUUUCCAGAGCCCCCCUUCAAUCACGAGCAGGGCCGCGGUCCAAUGAGAGUCGAGCCGGCCUGCACUGCGGC